rnacentral:rRNA from 1 species
AUUGAACGCUGGCGGCAUGCCUUACACAUGCAAGUCGAACGGCAGCACGGGUGCUUGCACCUGGUGGCGAGUGGCGAACGGGUGAGUAAUACAUCGGAACAUGUCCUGUAGUGGGGGAUAGCCCGGCGAAAGCCGGAUUAAUACCGCAUACGAUCUACGGAUGAAGGCGGGGGACCUUCGGGCCUCGCGCUAUAGGGUUGGCCGAUGGCUGAUUAGCUAGUUGGUGGGGUAAAGGCCUACCAAGGCGACGAUCAGUAGCUGGUCUGAGAGGACGACCAGCCACACUGGGACUGAGACACGGCCCAGACUCCUACGGGAGGCAGCAGUGGGGAAUUUUGGACAAUGGGCGAAAGCCUGAUCCAGCAAUGCCGCGUGUGUGAAGAAGGCCUUCGGGUUGUAAAGCACCUUUGUCCGGAAAGAAAUCCUUGGCCCUAAUACGGUCGGGGGAUGACGGUACCGGAAGAAUAAGCACCGGCUAACUACGUG